rnacentral:rRNA from 1 species
GUGCCAGCAGCCGCGGUAAUACGUAGGUGGCAAGCGUUGUCCGGAUUUACUGGGCGUAAAGGGAGCGUAGGCGGAUACUUAAGUGGGAUGUGAAAUACCUGGGCUUAACUCGGGUGCUGCAUUCCAAACUGGGUGUCUAGAGUGUUGGAGAGGAAAGUGGAAUUCCUAGUGUAGCGGUGAAAUGCGUAGAGAUUAGGAAGAACACCAGUGGCGAAGGCGACUUUCUGGACAAUAACUGACGCUGAGGCUCGAAAGCGUGGGGAGCAAACAGGAUUAGAUACCCUGGUAGUCC